GGGCAUGCCAUGAGAUUUUAUCGAGAGAAAAAGAGAGUUGGGGCAUGUGCUAGGUUGUGGGCAACUUCAUCUGGUGUGGAGAAAUCCUAGGGCUUCUAGGUUGGGCGUUGGGAUCAUAAGGAAGAGAGAAAGUAUUCUCUAGUUCCUAUUUAUCUACCUCAUCUUCCUCCACUUCUCUUUCAUCUCUAGAGUGUUUGUGAGAUCUGAA
rnacentral:lncRNA from 1 species